rnacentral:rRNA from 1 species
AUCGAACGCUGGCGGCAGGCUUAACACAUGCAAGUCGAGCGGGCAUCCUUGUGGUGUCAGCGGCAGACGGGUGAGUAACGCGUGGGAACGUGCGCUUUGGUUCGGAAUAACUCAGGGAAACUUGAGCUAAUACCGGAUAUGUGCCAGAGCAGAAAGGUUUAUCUGCCGAAGGAUCGGCCCGCGUCUGAUUAGCUAGUUGGUGAGGUUAUGGCUCACCAAGGCUACGAUCAGUAGCUGGUCUGAGAGGAUGAUCAGCCACACCGGGACUGAGACACGGCCCAGACUCCUACGGGAAGCAGCAGUGGGGAAUAUUGGACAAUGGGGGCAACCCUGAUCCAGCCAUGCCGCGUGAGUGAUGACGGCCUUAGGGUUGGAAAGCUCUUUUCUCCGGUACGAUAAUGACGGUACCGGAGGAAUAAGCCCCGGCUAACUUCGUG